AGUACAGUAGCUGGGUCAAAUGGUGGUUCCAUUCCAAGAUUUUGGAGGAGUCUCCAUACUGCUUUCCAGAGUGGUUGCACCAAUUUGCAGUCCCAUCAGCAAU
rnacentral:pre_miRNA from 1 species